AAGGAAUAUUGCUCAAUGGGAGAAAUCCUGAAGCAGCAACGCCGCGUGGAGGAUGAAGGGUCUAUGACUUGUAAACUCCUGUAAAGAAGGAAAAAAUUCCCAUUAGAUGGGAGAUGAUGGUACUUCUGGAGUAAGCCCCGGCUAACUACGUGCCAGCAGCCGCGGUAAUACGUAGGGGGCAAGCGUUGUCCGGAUUUACUGGGUGUACAGGGUGCUCAGGCGGAUUUGUAAGUCAGAGGUGAAAUCUUACAGCUUAACUGUGAAACUGCCUUUGAUACUGCAAGCCUAGAGUAUGGAAGAGAGUGAUGGAAUAUCUGGUGUAGCAGUGAAAUGCGUAGAUAUCAGAUAGAACACCAAUGACGAAGGCAGUCACUUGGUCCAUUACUGACGCUAAAGCACGAAAGCGUGGGUA
rnacentral:rRNA from 1 species